AACGAACGCUGGCGGCAUGCCUAACACAUGCAAGUCGAACGGAUGCAGCAAUGCAUCAGUGGCAGACGGGUGAGUAACACGUGGGAAUCUACCCAGUAGCCUGGAAUAACCGCGGGAAACUGCGGCUAAUACCGGAUACGCCCCUCGGGGGAAAGGAGCAAUCCACUAUUGGAGGAGCCCGCGUCCGAUUAGCUAGUUGGUGAGGUAACGGCUCACCAAGGCGAUGAUCGGUAGCUGGUUUGAGAGAACGACCAGCCACACUGGGACUGAGACACGGCCCAGACUCCUACGGGAGGCAGCAGUGGGGAAUAUUGGACAAUGGGGGAAACCCUGAUCCAGCAAUGCCGCGUGGGUGAUGAAGGCCUUCGGGUUGUAAAGCCCUUUUGGCGGGGACGAUGAUGACGGUACCCGCAGAAGAAGCCCCGGCUAACUUCGUGCCAGCAGCCGCAGUAACAC
rnacentral:rRNA from 1 species